CGAGGAGGCCCCAGUUGAGGGGAGACGACCGUAGCGUGAGCACGGUGUCGCUCGUUGUUCAGAAGUGUCCAGCAGUGCGUCGUUCUGUUAUCGUGCCUUUGUGCCCUUUGGAAUUAACAGGUGUUUCGAAACAGAUAGUUUUAAUCCAGUUUGCCCAAAGAGGAAAGCGAGAAAGAAAAGAGAGAAAAGCAAAGAGAGAAAAUCAGAGAGGAAAAAUAUUGAUAAGAGAAAGUGAUUUUGUUUUGGAAAUCGAGUGUGGUGUUUUUCAAGCCUGUUGUUUGCCUCGUGGAGUGUGGACGAUCGGCGGAAGUGCGUUUGUGUUAGCUGAGGGAACAACAUGGAUGCGUUAAUUUUCGCCAGAUACGGAGAGGUGUCGCCGCCGUCGUCGUCGUUGUUGCCAUGGUAACGGAGUGUGUGUGUGGUUCCCCUCAUCGGCACAAUGAAUCACGUGUCUAGUAUAACCUCGUGAGGGUAGUGUGAACGAAGGAAGAGAAGAGAGAAAGGAAAAAUAAAAAUAUUGAGGAAAAGAGAUAAAAAAAAAAAGAGAAAAGAAAGGAAAAGAGAGAAGGUGAAAAUAACGGGAGAAGAUUGAGAGAGGAAACAGCAACAUCACGGGAAAGGUUCGAGGAGGUGAAGAAGAAGGACUUCACUCUCGCCCCCUCCCCCCUCCUCUUCCCCCCCCUUAACCUCCCCCUCGAAGGAGACAUCACCCCCACUCUCCCCCCCACCCCCCACCCCUCCCUUCCGGCCGACCCUCCAGCGCGUCGGGAGGCUGACACGAGAGAUCUCCGGUCGGGCACAGCAUCAUGUACCCAGCGGCCAUGAACGCGGCGGUGGCUGCUGCUGCCGCUAGCCGUCACCCGGUGAGUUUGGCGGGACCACAGCCGGGCCAGCCGUUCAAGUUCACCGUGUCCGAAUCCUGUGAUCGAAUGAAGGAGGAAUUUAACUUCUUGCAAGCGCAGUAUCACAAGU